rnacentral:misc_RNA from 1 species
ACCGGACUGAGAAAGCAUGGCGGAGGAUGACCGAGUGAUGGUGAAGCGGCGAAUCUAGAACCGUCAAGAAAACCACCGAGAUUUUGACAGACCAGAGGAUGAGAGUGGAGAAGCAACUUAUCAGGCCAGGCACCGUUACCAAGCUUGCAGCCGGUCAAAGUGUCACCGUUCACUGCACCGGUUAUGGGAAGAAUGGUGAUCUCUCUCAGAAGAUUUGGAGCACAAAGGAUCCUGGGCAGAAG